GAUGAACGCUUAGCGGCAGGCUUAACACAUGCAAGCGUGGGGCAGCACAGGUAGCAAUACUGGGUGGCGACCGGCGCACGGGUGAGUAACGCGUAUGCAACUACCCUGUACAGGGGGAUAGCCCGGAGAAAUUCGGAUUAAUACCCCAUAAUGAUAUUUUAGGGCAUCUUAGAAUAUUUAAAGUUUCGGCGGUACAGGAUGGGCAUGCGUAACAUUAGCUAGUUGGUAGGGUAACGGCCUACCAAGGCAACGAUGUUUAGGGGUCCUGAGAGGGUGAUCCCCCACACUGGUACUGAGACACGGACCAGACUCCUACGGGAGGCAGCAGUGAGGAAUAUUGGUCAAUGGGCGCAAGCCUGAACCAGCCAUCCCGCGUGAAGGAAGAAUGCGCUAUGCGUUGUAAACUUCUUUUCCAGGGGAAUAAAACUUUUGUUACGGGGUACAGGACUGAAGGUACCCUGGGAAUAAGCAUCGGCUUAACUCCGUG
rnacentral:rRNA from 1 species